ACAUAAGGCUUAAACCAUAAGGCCAGAUCUACAAUAGGUGUAGCAAGCCUUAUGCCCUAAGAAAUUGACCAAUUAUAAUCGAAUAUGAGAAGAAUAAUCGAAAUGUCUUAAGAUUGUAGUAAGCUGUCACCUUGAUAUAUCAAUAGUUAGUCAUUUUAGAUAUUAACAUCAUAUUACUUAGAUAACAGUAAUAAUGCAAUAUAGAUUUCAUAUAUAUAUAUAUAUAUAUAAAACUAUAAUUAUAUUUUGAUAUCUUUACAUAGUAAUAAAAAUUUUCGAAUAUCUUGAACUUAAAAAAUCUGCAGUAAUAAAUUUAAUUAAUUAAUCCAUGAAAUAAAAAAUCCAGUGUGAAGUACAAAGAAUGAAUAUGAAUGUUUAUGAAUAGUGUUUUUAUAUGUAUUUAUAAAUAUAAAAUUGUUAUAACAUAUAAAGUUAUACAUUAUAUAAGAGUUAAAAGCAUUUCUCUAGAUUUGUUCGUUUGCUUUUUCUUUUUCGUAGCUUUUCAAAGAGAAAAGCAAAUCCUACAUGUAAAAAAAAGUUAAAAAGAAGAGUACAAAGAAUUACACAAUAACUGCUUUAAUACAAUAAUAAUAUAAUAAUAAAAUAAUAUCAACUAUAUAAUGUAAUUAAAUAUUCUAUACAUAUACAAUCGUCGCAGUCGCAAUGUUUUUAUGUACCACAUUAUGAGUGUUCUACACUAGCAAAGAUUUUAUGUAAGUAGACGAGUCCUUUGUAUAUAAUCUAAUUAACAUGACGGAAAAUAAAGAAAGAAAAUAAGGGAGAAUAUUUUUUUAUCGUCAUAUGCUAAUUAAUUAAAAUUUCAACUAAUAGAAAUUUGUUUAUUUUAUUGUCUUUGAUAGCUUUAGUAUUUUAGCAUGUAUAUACUAUUGCAAAAUUUAAUCAUGUUUUCCUAUUAAUCAUUUUAUAAUGGAUAUCAAGAGUAAAGAAAUUAUUAAUAAAUGCAAUUUAAAUUUACACAAAUAGCUAUUUCUUAAUAAAAUUAUUAGAAUUUGAUAUGGAUUGAUAUUGAAGCAGAUACAAUCUCAGAAGACUUUGUUAUCAGUUAAAAAAUCAUACAAUUAUGUGAAAAAUAACAAGCUAUUAAUAUUAUUUAUUGAAUUAGUGCAAAAAUAGAUUUACAAUAUCAUUAAAUAAAUAGGAAAAUAAAUUAAGCAAUAAAACUUGGUAUUUGUCUUUAUAAAUACCAUUUGUUUGAAUGAUUUACACAUUAUAAGCAAAAUAAUCACAUCCUUUCUCUUAAAAAAUUCCAAAUUUCUAAUUUUAUUUAAAAUAAAGCUUAACAAAAAAAUAAAUGCGUGUUAUAUGUAAAAAAAUGUGUAUUAAUCUGAUAACAUAAACGUGUAGUUAUUUGUUUCAUAUGCGUACAAAAUGUCAAAGUUUUCAGUCAUAAAUUUACGUAUCGUACUUUAUAAAUACAUUUUAUAAAUUUCGUUAAUGGAUAUAAAAUGUUAUUGUUUAUAUGUAUUUCUUAUAAGUUAAUUGUUAUCGCAAACUUUUGAAAUGUAUCUAUUAUUCAUAAUUGUUAUCUAAAUGAAUACAUGUAAUAUUAAAAUAAAAUUAAUUUCUGAAAUUUUAA